rnacentral:rRNA from 1 species
UACGGGGGGGGCAAGCGUUGUUCGGAAUUACUGGGCGUAAAGGGCUCGUAGGCGGCCAACUAAGUCAUACGUGAAAUCCUUCGGCUUAACCGGGGAACUGCGUCUGAUACUGGAUGGCUUGAGUUCGGGAGAGGGAUGCGGAAUUCCAGGUGUAGCGGUGAAAUGCGUAGAUAUCUGGAGGAACACCGGUGGCGAAGGCGGCAUCCUGGACCGAUACUGACGCUGAGGAGCGAAAGCCAGGGGAGCAAACGGG